rnacentral:rRNA from 1 species
AUUGAACGCUGGCGGCAUGCCUAACACAUGCAAGUCGAACGAGCGGCGGACGGGUGAGUAAUGUAUGGGGAUCUGCCCGCUAGAGGGGGAUAACUACUGGAAACGGUAGCUAAUACCGCAUACUACCGGAUUAACCCAUAUGGGCUUAGCUAGUUGGUGGGGUAAAGGCUCACAUAGGCGACGAUCCCUAGCUGGUCUGAGAGGAUGACCAGCCACACGGGAACUGAGACAAGGUCCAGACUCCUACGGGAGGCAGCAGUGGGGAAUAUUGCACAAUGGGCGCAAGCCGGAUGCAGCCAUGCCGCGUGUAUGAAGAAGGCCUUCGGGUUGUAAAGUACUUUCAGCGGGGAGGCGUUACCCGCAGAAGAAGCAACGGCUAACUCCGUGCCAGCAGCCGCGGUAAUAC